rnacentral:lncRNA from 1 species
GCACUACCUCGUGAACCUAUGACCUCCAAAUUCCAAUUAGCAGCAGAGAAAUCUAUAGCCCAAGGCUUAUACUUUAUUUUGAGCUAGUAUUCAUAUCUUCCAGGUAGAUGGUUGCUGAUUUGAUUCAUGGUUACAGGUGGACGAUUCCAUUGUUUUGAUGAACUGGCACUGCAGGGUCUCGUCAAUCGCUGACUCUGGCAAUCUAAUCUGCCUUGCAGAGAGUUGUGCCAAGAGGCCCAAGACUAUUUAUGCUAGUAUCACCCUUCUAGAUAGUUGGCCGCUUCUUUGAUUAUUGUUGCCCACCAGUGGAAUCAUUUUUAUUCUACCGGCAUUGCAGAAUUCAGGCAUUCGGAUGUGGCAACCUGAUGAUCUUCAAAGUCUGGCUUAGAAUUGGUUGUAGAUAUUUGUACAUUUAUUCUUCUAGUCAGAGAAAUUCCACUAGUGUAGUAUAUCCUUGUAAUUUAUUCUUGUCCUUUUUUUGAAUCUCUCUUUAGGAGAAAAUACAGUUGAAGUGGCCGCUUCGAAAUAGAAAUUGAUCAUUUUCACUGAAUUUUCUGGGUGUCCAUGUUCACAUGCUUUGUUUUUCUGUCCAAGCUUGUAAGUUUUUGGAUUAAGUAAAAGUGUUUUGUACCAAAUGUGAGGAGAAUGGUUAAAAUCGUUUGAAUACUUGUAUUUGGUGUUCUGUAGACUGUAGUUAAGGAGUCAGUGGCAACUAACUAUGCAAAAGAGGGAAAGCCCCCCUCCAUUUGGUUUGUACCUUAUAGCUUGGAUUUCUUUUGUGUACGUAAAUGCUCCCUCC